UAAGCUAUUAAGAAUUUCACAUUCUAAAUUUCCUAUUGAAAGAGAAAGUGAAUCUUCAAAACAAAUCAACAUACUAAAUAUCACGGUUUAAUUUACCAAAGGAAAAUAAAAGGAAGAA